CUCCCACCCCCGAGCCCGCGGGAUCAUCCCGGCGCAUUCCCAGCCGCCGCUGGGAUCGAUGCUGCUCCGUAGCCACAGCAACGCCCGGACAAGCCGAGGAUGCAGCGGGAGCCAGCACCCAGACCUGCGUUUGGGAGUGGAGGGAGAGAGGAAAAACCGCUCCAAGGUCACCUGGGCAGGCGACAAACACCCAGCACAGAACCUGCUGGGGGAGCCCCACGUUCCAAGAAUUCCCGAUGAGAGCAGGGAUUUUUAAAAGCCGGCGCGGAAACCCAAAAAUGCUGCAGGAAAUCAGGGUCGGUCUGCAGUGGAACAGCCUUGGGAGGGAAUUCCGGAAUUCUGGAAUUCCCUGAGCAGUCCGGAGCGAGGGAUGGCACCAACGGGACCAACACAGGGCGGGUCGUGCUCUGCCGGAAUUCCCAGCACACGGAAUCCCCUGCUGGAAGAUCCCACGCUUUUCCUGGAUCCAGGAUCGGGAAUAUCCAUCCUGCUACCCUUAAUGAGCUCCCCCCAAUUAACCCGGGCAUUAAUUACACCCCCCACACUUCGGGGCUGAGUCAUUCCGGAUCGAACCUUCCCAAUCCCACACCGAAAUCCCGAGAGGGAAGCGCUGCCCUCAUCCCAUCACACGGAACCCCAACAACCCCCAAACACCCGGAAAUGCCCCCAAACGCCCCCAUAGACCCCAAAACACCCCAAAAUGCCCCCGCAGACCCUCCCACAACCCCGAAAUCCCCCCAAACACCCCGAGAUUCCCCCCCAAAACACCCCGAGAUCCCCCCAAACGCUCCCAUAGAUCCCAAAAUUCCCUCAAACACCCCCAAAUGCCCCAAACAUCCACACAGACCACAAAAUGCCCCCAAACACCCCAAAAUGUUCCCCAAACACCCCCCUAGACCCCUAAAUUCCUUUUAAAUCCCCCCCGAAAUGCUCCCCAAACGCCCCCAUAGACCCUUAAAUACCCCUAAAUACCCCCCCAAACACCCCCUCAGACAUCUCCACACGCCCAUAAACUGCCCACAGACCCCCGAACACCCCCAUAGAUCCACCCAUGCGCCCCUAAACCGCCCCAAAACCACCCCCGUGCCCAUAAAGACCCCCCCCCUAAACAUACGGGGACGUAAAGAUCCCCGCCACAAACCCCUUUUUGAGCGCCACAAACCCCUCGCACAGACAUCCCCCCUCACCUUUACACCCCCUCAGAGCCCUCACGCACACCCCCGCAACGAAGGAAGCUCGGCGUCCCACCAACACCGCGGCACCUCUCCCUCUCUCUACACCGCCCCAAAUCCACAUCUUCCCCCGUUCCCGGGACCCUCCGGGAGCCCCCGAUCCCCUCAGGCCUCCCCCGGUACCUCCGGCCCGGCCGCUCCCGGCACCGUCGACCCCGCCCGACGA